UUUUUCAAUUUAGAUUGUUUUUAUGCUUUGAAUUUAUCUGUUUUCUUGGGUUGUGAUUUGUUAGUGUUUGAUCUUUGCAUGUUCCUGCUUCUGGGUUAUGCUGUUUUCUAAUGUGUUGUAGAGGCUGUAGAUCAAACUCCCAAACACAAACAAAUCACAAUCCAAGAAAGCGGAUAAAUUCAAAGCAUAAAAACAAUCUAAACUGAAAAAU
rnacentral:pre_miRNA from 1 species